rnacentral:tRNA from 1 species
GUAUGUAGUUCAAGUGGUAGAAUGCUUGCUUAGCAUGCAUGAGGCUUGGGUUUGAUUCCCAGUACUACA